AAGUCUUCACAUGUCAACUUUAUCAACAACGACCCUGAAGAUCGAGACAACAUCCGGGACAGUGACAACACAGAAAGGAGUGGCAACUCUUCACA